UAAUGCAGACUCUGGCUUCAGAACUGGACUGCUUGAGUUGGAAUCACGCAUCCAUUCUGUCUGCACUGUGUAAUUUGGGGUGCCCAGGGAGACAAACCGGUAAAUGUGAGAAGAAGAAAUACUUCUGAUGUUUUCCCAGCUCCAUGGAACCCAUGUUGAAGGCCAUGUAGCCCGAGCAUGCUCAGAUGUGCCAAGCAGGCAACCAAGUGGGGAACCUAAGCGCUCUGAUGGAGGAGUGGGGGCUGAAUUAAGAAGAGGACACAGCAUGGCAGGGUCCAGGAUCCAAUCAGAUAGAGCCCUGAUUGUCACUCCAUGGCAGGAUCCAGUCAGACCAUGCUUCCUGGCAUCACCUCAUCACAACAUCCAAUCAGACCACACAUCAUUACCUCAUGCUUAUAAAACUUGACCCAAUCUCCAGCUCCAGAAGACAGAUUUGAGUGUUUCCUUCUGUCUCCUUCCCAGUCAACUUGCAAUAAAGCUUCUCUUUUGCCCAAA